CAAGCAAGGGGGCUCGCUCGUCGCUUCUGAGGCCACUUUUUGAGCCUGGCGACAGCAGGGAGUGGCGGCGGUGGCGGCGGCGGCGCUGCUCCGUCUCUGCGUGCACCUCGGCCCUCCCAGUCCCUCCUCUCUCUCACUGAGUAGCUUUGCGGGGAGGAGGAGGGUGAGUGGUGGGAGGGUCUCCAUUGAAAUAAACAAGCAGCCAGUGAUUAAAACGGGAACAUGGCGGCCGCGGAAGACUCAGCAGCUCCAGCUUCCUCUUACAAAGCGAAGGUCAGCGCUGGCGGCAGCUUGGGCGACAGGAGUCGGAGACAUUACUGACCCCGCAGACUUGAGAUGUAUUGGGAUAUUGAAGUUUUUAAGAACACAACGUGUAGUACUGAUUUGCCCGCCUUACUGAGUCUUGAAGCCUACAGUUUGGCUGGAAAAACAUGCAGUAUUGAAGUCUUAACCAAGUAAUUUUUUGCUUGCAUGCUUUGUGUAUCAAAUCCUAACCUUUGCAAAUUGUUAGUUUUUACUCAACCAUUUGAUGUAUCAAGGACAUACACAUUGUUUUAUAAGAUAACUAGGAUUUAAUAGCUAGAAUGUAGUAGAAGUUUAAAGCAACAAAAUAUGUAAGUGGUCAGGUCUAUACUUCAUAAUUCAGCUCUUGCUUUCCCAGGCCUCAGCUUUUUAAGAGGCUCCCUUACAUCAGCAGUUCUCUAAACUAGGGUUAGCAAAGUUUGGGAUUAGCAAAGUUUGGCCUGUGGGCUGUAUGCAGCUCCAAAAUUGUUUUUCGCUUUUUAUGGUUUCAAUUGCUUUCCAUUUGAAAAGUCCUUCAUACCUUCAGGGGUGCUGGAGAUGAAACCCCCAGCAACAUUUCCCCCUCUAACCUUUUCAGUAACCAGAAGCUGUACUUGACCCUUGCUUCUCUGCCUUUACAUAGGUGCAGGCAAACCUUGCAUCUUCUUAGUGCCAUUACAGUUGCUUCUUAAGGGCUUUCAUAACUCCACCUUCCAUAACUAUUGUUACGAGACAUGCAUUCAUUUUAUUGGUUUUGUAAAAGUAGCACAUUACUUUUACUGUUGCAUUGGUUAUUGGAGAGCCAAAGUUCCCCAGAAAAGGCUGAUCCGGAGUCCAGGACAUAAAUAAAAAUAGGAACAUUUGUUUUUAAAAAUCCUAU
rnacentral:lncRNA from 1 species